rnacentral:lncRNA from 1 species
AAAAGGGUUGAAGUGGGUGAAAGAAAAGGUCCUCUAGGUAAAAAACAGGGUCAUUUCUGUUGUCUGCGCAAGUGUAAUCGGUUACCUUGAUUAGGGUAAUCGGUUACACAGUCCCAAAAUGGCCAAAAAAUCAGUUUUUGGUCUGGGUAAUCGGUUACCCUGAUUACCGAUUACCCAAUUUUUUUAUUUUUUAUUUUAAAUUUUUUUUAAAUAUUUUUUGUUUGAAAUAAUGAAUAUAUGCAUGUGCAGCAGGGUCAUG